rnacentral:rRNA from 1 species
AUUGAACGCUGGCGGCAGGCCUAACACAUGCAAGUCGAACGAGUGGCGGACGGGUGAGUAAUGUCUGGGAAACUGCCUGAUGGAGGGGGAUAACUACUGGCAACGGUAGCUAAUACCGCAUACCAUCGGAUGUGCCCAGAUGGGAUUAGCUAGUAGGUGGGGUAAAGGCGCACCUAGGCGACGAUCCCUAGCUGGUGUGAGAGGAUGACCUGCCACACUGGAACUGGGACCCGUGCCAGACUCCUAGGGAGGGCGGCAGUGGGGAAUAUUGCACAAGGGGCGAAAGCCUGCCGAGGCCAUGCCGCGUGUAUGAGGAAGGCCUUCGGGUUGUAAGGUACUUUCAGCGGGGAGACGUUACCCGCAGAAGAAGCACCGGCUAACUACGUGCCAGCAGCCGCGGUAAUUC